UAUGUCUCAGAAUGUAAAAUCGAUAUCAUCGCCCUAAAAAGCGCUCGGUAAAAAAAUUAAUACAACUUUCAACAACGGAUCUCUUGGCUCUCGCAUCGAUGAAGAACGCGGCGAAAUGCGAUAAGUAAUGUGAAUUGCAGAUUUUCAGUGAAUCAUCGAAUCUUUGAACGCACCUUGCGCUCCUUGGUAUUCCGAGGAGCAUGCCUGUUUGAGUGUCAUUAAAUUCUCAACCCCGAUCGGAUUUGCUUUCGAUUCGGUGGCUUGGACGGUGGAGCGUGCUGGCCCUUUGGGUCGGCUCCUCUCAAAUGCAUUCGCGGAAUUGACUUUGGUCCGUUUCGGUCAUCAGUGUGAUAAUCGUGUUACGCUGUCGGCCAGGAUCGAGGUGCCGCAUAUAAUGGUCUUCGGACAACCUCAUAUCAAUUUGACCUCAAAUCAGGUAGGACUACCCGCUGAACUUAAGCAUAUCAAUAAGCGGAGGA
rnacentral:rRNA from 1 species